UCGGGCUGUUAUGAUGACCUGUGUUUGAUGCUUAUAUUCUUUGAUAAUAGUCCCCAGGUCAUUUUCUUCCUAAUUGCAUUAUCCUUUGUAUUAUUGCCAUCUGAAAGCAAAUGCAUCUUUGUUACCCCAAUUUUGGUGAUAAUACUUCUCCCUUCCCUUGAGACGCAACAUGUCCACUAGCCAUAUGACCUUUCAUUUUCCCCCUUUUUUUAGAUAAUAAAUAAUCUGAAUAUCACCUCAUUACAUAAUUAAAUGUAUCUGUUGUGUCGCAGGGAUUGUAUCCUGGGUACAUGAUUUUCUUUGUUCAGUCUGCUUUGUUUAUUGCUGGUUCAAGAGGUUCUAACACGAUUCCCAAGAAGAAGAAGCCAGUCAUUGCUGUGAAGAUGGUUUUUGAAUUGAAGACUACAAGGCCUAUCGUGCUCAUGUUUUGUUCUAGAUGAGAAUCGUGCUCAUAUUUUUGUAUAGAACUUUACUACUCUCUAUUGUGGAUGGGAAAUCACUAGUAUUGUAACUGAAUGGCUUAUUUUGGAUGGUGCAUGGUUUAUGACUCAUUUGAGGCAACAUUUAUAUAUAUAUGUAUUUGGGUUGAUCUUCUA